UGGCUCAGAACGAACGCUGGCGGCAGGCUUAACACAUGCAAGUCGAGCGCCUGUAGCAAUACACGAGCGGCAGACGGGAGAGUAACACGUGGGAACGUACCCUUCGGUUCGGAAUAACCCAGGGAAACUUGGACUAAUACCGGAUAAGUCCGAAAGGAGAAAGAUUUAUCGCCGAAGGAUCGGCCCGCGUCUGAUUAGCUAGUUGGUGAGGUAACGGCUCACCAAGGCGGCGAUCAGUAGCUGGUCUGAGAGGAUGAUCAGCCUCACUGGGACUGAGACACGGCCCAGGGUCCUACGGGAGGCAGCAGUGG
rnacentral:rRNA from 2 species